rnacentral:piRNA from 2 species
AAAACUCCCGUGCUGAUCAGUAG